rnacentral:pre_miRNA from 1 species
GUUGAGGAGUAGAGGUGCUCAUGGGCUGGGUCGGGCCAGGCCCCAAAAAAUUCAGCUCGAGUCCUAGGCCAGAGCUCAACUCGACUCAAAAUAUGGGCUUGAAAUUUUGUCCAGGCCCGGCCCAAGAAAAAAAUCUUAAGCCCGAGCCCGGCCCGACCCAUUUUUUAAAUAAAACACCAAAAAUUUAUUUUAAAAUAAAAAAUAAAAAAAUAUUUUAAAAAUAAUAAAAAUAUAUAUAUUUAUUAUUUAUUCGGGCCGGGCAGAGCAGGGCCCGGGCCAAAAAAGUAGUGCCCGAGGCCCGACCCAUUUUUUAAACAGGCCUCGUUUUUUUUGCCCAAGCUCAUAUUUCGAGCCUAUAUUUUUAUCCGAACCCUCUCAUAUUUCGGACUGGCCGUCGGACCAGGCCGGGUCGGGCCGCCCGACCCAUGAUCACCUCUAUUGAGGAGUCAAUUAAUGAAUAUAUCCCAAA